AAACACUGUGACGACCUCCGUCUGAGGAGGGUUCAUCCUCUGGAGACCAGGACAUUUUAUUUCAUAUUUUUCCACUCAGAAAUCUUUCCUUCUUUCCUUCUUUCCUUUUUUCUUUCCUUCUUUCCUUUUUUCCUUUUUUCUUUCCUUCUUUUCUUUCCUUCUUUUCUUUCCUUUUUUCCUUUUUUCUUUCCUUCUUUCCUUUUUUCUUUCCUUCUUUUCUUUCCUUUUUUCUUUCCUUCUUUCCUUUUUUCUUUCCUUCUUUUCUUUCCUUCUUUCCUUUUUUCUUUCCUUUUUUCUUUCCUUCUUUCCUUUUUUCUUUCCUUCUUUCUUUCCUUUUUUCUUUCCUUUUUUUUUUUUUCCUUUUUUCUUUCCUUCUUUCCUUUUUUCUUUCCUUCUUUUCUUUCCUUUUUUCUUUCCUUCUUUCCUUUUUUCUUUCCUUUUUUUUUUCCUUUUUUCUUUCCUUCUUUCUUCCUUCUUUCCUCUUUCUUCUUUUUCCCUUUUUUCUUUUCUUUCCUUUUUUCUUUCCUUCUUUCUUUCCUUUCUUUCCUUUUUUCUUUCCUUCCUUCUUCUUCCUUCUUUUCUUUCUUCUUUCUUUCCUUUUUUUUUCCUUUUUCUUUCCUUCUUUCCUUUUUUCUUUCCUUCUUUCCUUUUUUCCUUUUUUCUUUCCUUCUUUUCUUUCCUUUUUUCCUUUUUUCUUUCCUUCUUUCUUUCCUUCUUUUCUUUCCUUGUUUCCUUUUUUCUUUCCUUCUUUCCUUCUUUUCUUUCCUUCUUUUUUUCCUUUUUUCUUUUUUUCUUUCCUUCUUUUCUUUCCUUCUUUUUCUUUCUUUUCUUUUUUCCUUUUUUCUUUCCUUCUUUCCUUUUUUCUUUCCUUCUUCUUUCCUUCCUUUUCUUUCCUUCUUUCCUUUUUUCUUUCCUUUUUUCUUUCCUUCUUUCCUUUUUUCUUUCCUUCUUUUCUUUCCUUCUUUUCUUUCCUUUUUUCCUUUUUUCUUUCCUUCUUUCCUUUUUUCUUUCCUUCUUUUCUUUCCUUCUUUCCUUUUUUCUUUCCUUCUUUUCUUUCCUUGUUUCCUUUUUUCUUUCCUUCUUUCCUUCUUUUCUUUCCUUCCUUCUUUCCUUUUUUCUUUCCUUUUUUCUUUCCUUGUUUCCUUUUUUCUUUCCUUCUUUCCUUCUUUUCUUUCCUUCCUUCUUUCCUCUCAUCUUCCCAUUUCAUCUCUUGAUGCUGUCGUCUCAUAUUUGGGUCACACACGUUGGAUUGGUUGUUCCCAUAGUAACUGCAUCGUUAACCAGCUCAGUUAG
ensembl:lncRNA